CGCUAGUAAUCGCGCAUCAGCCACGGCGCGGUGAAUACGUUCCCGGGCCUUGUACACACCGCCCGUCAAGCCAUGGAAGCCGGGAGUGCCUGAAGUACGCGACCGCAAGGAGCGUUCUAAGGUAAAACCGGUGACUGGGGCUAAGUCGUAACAAGGUAAC
rnacentral:rRNA from 1 species